AGCUGAAUUAGUGAGGAUGACUCCUGCUCCUGUCAUCUCUAAGCUCCUCACACAUCUUUACCUGCACAUGAGGAAAAUCACUCCUGUAGAAUGCAGAUGUUCAGAGGGAGAUGAUGCCACAUCUGGUCCAGCUGAUGGAAGGUGUUGAAGUUCUCUGACUGGCCUCGACUGAAGAUGGUCGUCUCACUGGAUUUAAGGUUCAGAUGCUCAGUAACAAACUCCACCAAUGAGCCAACAGGGAAGCUUUAGGUUUAUUAAAUGUUGCUAUGAAGGUAUCGCUGUUUUUCUUUGUGAAUGCAAUGUGCUCCAACUGAAACUUGAAUUAGAACUUAGAAGUAAAUCCUUCCAUCUGAAAGGAUUUAGUUGCAUUAAUAACCUCAUAACAUUCUAAUUUUUAUUUCAGUCUUGGCUGGAAAUAGAAUCUCUGUAUUGAUUCAGGUAAAAACUGAACUUCACAGCAUGUUGGAGCAAAACAACCAGAUGAAAACUGUGAUGGUGUUGGAUUGUCAGACUGUAAUGUUGCAGCUCAAAGCAGCUUUUCUAUCUCAGUUCAUUCUGACAUUCAGCUAUGAAUCAACACAGCAGAUGGUGAUCCAUGCUGUGGAAGUCUCACAUCUCCUGAUUUAAUGGAGCUGCUUUGCACUUUUUACACUGUUUAUUCACCAACACUUUAUUUAAUAAAAGUCCCAUCUAGUUUUUAUGAGGAAUGUGAUGUUUUAAUUUCUCUGUGAAUAACUGCAGUCUAAUGGAACAGCUGGAGUUGUAACAUCUGUCCUGAUAUUGAUCAUGAAGUAUUGAUCAGAAUACUUAUGGUCAGCAGUCAUCCCUGAAGUUUUACAUUAAAAUCUUUACCUUGUGUUGUGAACUUUGGUAAGAAGCAGAAACGUUAGCGUUGCCAUGGAUACAUGAGUGUUAAAUUCUGUCCAUGUUUCCAUUUUGGGAAAUUCAGUCCAGUUCCAGAAUGUGGAGGAAUUUAGUCUCACAAUCACAGACAACAAAUAUUAUCUGAAAGUCGGGUUAUUGUUGUUUAUCAGCACAAUACAAAAAGAUUAAUGUUAGAAAUAUUCCAGUUAAGACUCUAGAAUAUCAUGAUUUAUGUAAAUUUACCUCAAUAAUAUGAAUGUUCAGGUUAAGAUUGUACAGUGAUAUUUAUUAUGUAAGUUUAGCUGAUUAAAGUUUAUGACUCUGCACUAAAAUAUUAUUUAAAUUGACAUCAUUAUUAUAAUAUUUAGGGUCAGACCCUACAGUAUUGAGAUUAAGAAAUCAAAUAUUCUAUAAAAUGUAAAUACACUGAACUCAUUUGGAUAUAUUUAAGUGAGACUCUACAAUAUUAUUUGACACAAAUCUAUCUAAAUCAAAAUUUUAAUAAUUUUCAUGCCAAACAUUUACUGGACUGAUUUAAAUAUUAAAAUCACUCCUUUCUAAUCCUCUGCUGUACGUUCAAACCUGAGGCCUUAAAUAGAAACACACAAGUAUCUGAUUGAAGGAACUUCUGCAGAGUCCUGGUUCCAGAACAUGAUGAUAGAAUUAUAGACAAACUUUAACAAAAGCUGCCUGAGAGUUUACAGGUUUUUAUGUUAGACUUCUUCAGUAAUUUAAUGAGCGUUAUCAGCAAUAAUCAAGUGUUCAUUUGAUGAACUUCAUUUCCUAAAACAUACAGAAUUGGAGCUCAUAUCUUUGGCAGCUGUAAAGUUUCUGCUCCUUCAAAGUUCACAACACAAUGAAUGAAUUCCUAAAACACUCUCAAUGCUGGAGAGCGUUUGUGAUGCUGAAGCAGUGAUCAGUUUUUCUGUUUCUUCUCUGGAGAUGCACAAUGAGGGACGUCUGCAGAGACUGAGAAAGAGUCUCACCACAUCCUGACAUGAGGAAAAAGACUUUAUUGAAGACUACAAUGAGAAAAACUAUCAGACAGCAGACGGCUGCAUUCAAGGUGAGCUCUGAACAUUUGAUCUGGAACAGGAAUUCAAUAACGGCAGCAUGAGCUUCAUUUCAGUCUGUAGCUGCUGAAUUCAUGGAUGAAUCAUCUGGCACUAGAGAGGAAGACCAUCAAACAUCCACGUCAGCUGAUGGAGGUCCAAGAGUCUCACCAAACAAACAACCUACAGAGUGAAGACCUCGAAUCUGAUUGGACGGCCUCCUAUUCAGCCACAUGCUACAGGAGGAGCCCUAUGAGGACGAGCCGGUCCACCUGAUGGCGGCCAGUCGCUGCGGUUCAAAGCCAACACCGACUACGUGGACUUCUACUGGACCACACGGAGGCCUUCAAACCGGACCAACAAGUUCACCGACUCCCCGACUCGUGAGUCU